rnacentral:rRNA from 1 species
GACGAACCGUGCGAACGUUGUUCGGAUUCACUGGGCUUAAAGGGCGCGUAGGCGGGCGAUCAAGUCAGGGGUGAAAUCCUCCGGCUCAACCGGAGAACAGCUUUUGAUACUGGUCGUCUCGAGGGAGGUAGGGGCAUGUGGAACUUCCGGUGGAGCGGUGAAAUGCGUAGAUAUCGGAAGGAACGCCGGUGGCGAAAGCGACGUGCUGGACCUUCUCUGACGCUGAGGCGCGAAAGCCAGGGGAGCGAACGGG